rnacentral:rRNA from 1 species
UUGGAGGGCAAGUCUGGUGCCAGCAGCCGCGGUAAUUCCAGCUCCAAUAGCGUAUAUUAAAGUUGUUGCAGUUAAAAAGCUCGUAGUUGAAUUUCGGGGUUAGUAGGUUGGUCAUGCCUCUGGUAUGUACUGGCUCACUGAUUCCUCCUUCCUUAUGAACCGUAAUGCCAUUAAUUUGGUGUUGCGGGAAUUUGGACUGUUACUUUGAAAAAAUUAGAGUGUUUAAAGCAAGCUAACGNUUGAAUACAUUAGCAUGGAAUAAUGAAAUGACG